GUGCCAUCAACUCAGAUUCCCGAUUUCUCCUCUCAAUUGUGGUUAUCAUUUCCUGUGCCUGCCGAGCAGCCCAGCGGCUCAAAAUUCGAGAGUGACGACGGCGUGCAGCUGAAGACUCAGCUAAAUCAUCACCCUCAAGAUCAGACCGCCUUCUCCUCCGUAGAAGUUGAUCACCUUCUUCAUCCUCAACUUCUUGAUUGGCAGCAGAACUACAUGAAGCAAAUGGAAUACAUUCAUCCAGGUGCCCACGCAUUAACUCCUCAAGUCCACGCUCUAAUUCCGCUCGGGCAUCACUAGAAUCAGGCUUCUGUUGUAGCGAUUGA
rnacentral:misc_RNA from 1 species